rnacentral:rRNA from 1 species
GACGAACGCUGGCGGCGUGCCUAAUACAUGCAAGUAGAACGCUGAAGAGAGGAGCUUACUCUUCUUGGAUGAGUUGCGAACGGGUGAGUAACGCGUAGGUAACCUGCCUUGUAGCGGGGGAUAACUAUUGGAAACGAUAGCUAAUACCGCAUAACAAUGGAUGACACAUGUCAUUUAUUUGAAAGGGGCAAUUGCUCCACUACAAGAUGGACCUGCGUUGUAUUAGCUAGUAGGUGAGGUAAUGGCUCACCUAGGCGACGAUACAUAGCCGACCUGAGAGGGUGAUCGGCCACACUGGGACUGAGACACGGCCCAGGCUCCUACGGGAGGCAGCAGUAGGGAAUCUUCGGCAAUGGGGGCAAACCUGACCGAGCAACGCCGCGUGAGUGAAGAAGGUUUUCGGAUCGUAAAGCUCUGUUGUAAGUCAAGAACGGGUGUGAGAGUGGAAAGUUCACACUGUGACGGUAGCUUACCAGAAAGGGACGGCUAACUACGU